UUGUAAAGUGGCGCACGGGUGAGUAACACGUGGGUAAUCUGCCCUUGAGUUUGGGAUAACCCCGCGAAAGCGGGGCUAAUACCGAAUAAGACCACGGAGACCAAAGUCUCUGAGGUAAAAGGUGGCCUCUAUUUAUAAGCUACCACUUGAGGAUGAGCCCGCGGCCCAUUAGCUAGUUGGCGGGGUAAUGGCCCACCAAGGCUAUGAUGGGUAGCUGGUCUGAGAGGACGAUCAGCCACACUGGAACUGAGACACGGUCCAGACUCCUACGGGAGGCAGCAGUGGGGAAUAUUGCGCAAUGGGCGAAAGCCUGACGCAGCAACGCCGCGUGGGGGAUGAAGGUUUUCGGAUUGUAGACCCCUUUCGAUCGGAACGAAUCUCCUCCUGGUAAAUAAUCAGAAGGAUCGACGGUACCGAGAGAAGAAGCCACGGCUAACUCUGUGCCAGCAGCCGCGGUAAGACAGAGGUGGCGAGCGUUGUUCGGAUUUAUUGGGCGUAAAGCGAACGCAGGUGGUUUGGUAAGUCAGGGGUGAAAUUCCGCAGCUUAACUGCGGCAUUGCCUUUGAUACUGCCUUUCUUGAGUGCAUGAGGGGGAAGCGGAAUUCCGAGUGUAGAGGUGAAAUUCGUAGAUAUUCGGAGGAACACCGGUGGCGAAGGCGGCUUCCUGGCAUGUAACUGACACUCAUGUUCGAAAGCGUGGGUAGCAAACAGGAUUAGAUACCCUGGUAGUCCACGCCCUAAACGAUGGGCACUAGGUGUGGGAGGUAUCGACCCCUUCCGUGCCGCAGCUAACGCAUUAAGUGCCCCGCCUGGGGAGUACGGCCGCAAGGUUGAAACUCAAAGGAAUUGACGGGGGCCCGCACAAGCGGUGGUGCAUGUGGUUUAAUUCGACG
rnacentral:rRNA from 1 species